GGGUUGUGAGGUUAAGCGACCAAGCGUACACGGUGGAUGCCCUGGCAGUCAGAGGCGAUGAAGGACGUGCUAAUCUGCGAUAAGCGCCGGUAAGGUGAUAUGAACCGUUAUAACCGGCGAUUUCCGAAUGGGGAAACCCAGUGUGAUUCGUCACACUAUCAUUAACUGAAUCCAUAGGUUAAUGAAGCGAACCGGGGGAACUGAAACAUCUAAGUACCCCGAGGAAAAGAAAUCAACCGAGAUUCCCCCAGUAGCGGCGAGCGAACGGGGAGGAGCCCAGAGCCUGAAUCAGCAUGUGUGUUAGUGGAAGCGUCUGGAAAGGCGCGCGAUACAGGGUGACAGCCCCGUACACAAAAGCGCAUAUGCUGUGAGCUCGAUGAGUAGGGCGGGACACGUGGUAUCCUGUCUGAAUAUGGGGGGACCAUCCUCCAAGGCUAAAUACUCCUGACUGACCGAUAGUGAACCAGUACCGUGAGGGAAAGGCGAAAAGAACCCCGGCGAGGGGAGUGAAACAGAACCUGAAACCGUGUACGUACAAGCAGUGGGAGCACAGGUUUACCUG
rnacentral:rRNA from 1 species